UUUUCAUUGAAGUGGAAAUACUGGACUGGGCUGGCUCCACGUUCACACGCUCAAGAAUCGAGUCUGACAGGUCCACCUCGUCUCCCAACCUACGGGACUGGGCCCGUGUAAGCACACAAGCUGGGAACACAUGAGGAGAGAGAGACGCCACAACCUCCUGGGCUUUGCCAGACAGUUUGCACUGCAGGAGGAUGGACCAAACCUCCCGUGGCCAGUGCAACGCCGUAGCCACACGCUCAAAUGCUGAAAAGCGAGCCAGCCGGUACUCGAGCCUAGCCGCAGCACUUCUGGACCCAACAGAGGAACGAGGCGAAAGGUCGGCCCUAGACUCUUCACCUGAGGCCUCACUGCCCUCGUCCAUCCCCUCACAAACCCCCUGGUGAACCAACCCUUUUUUUAUCAACUCUAACAUCUCUGCCUUGAGGGCCUGCCUUGGGACGGAGAUUUUAUAAUGAUCGGCGACGGCGAAUAACUCUGACCUGCGCAUCCCUCCCAGCUGGUCAAGGGAUGGACCUGCUAGAAAAACAGCCAGUGCUGGAGCAGCCAUUCUAGUAGGUACACACGCCACCACCACUACUACAAACCAAACUAGCAACUUGUUGCUGAAAUCACCCUACAACACCACACCUUCGCACCAGCACCCACCAGGACCUUGUGCUCACAGGGAAGUCGGGAGAUUGACGAUCCCGGACGAGCCCCCACUUGUUACGUCUCCCUUAGUCUAGGUGUAAGGGAGCGCAACCCCUGCAAACAUGAGCCCUGAUGAACGCGGCGACCAGAGAUACUCACAAACCCCAACGACGGAAAAUAAACACAGAACCAUGAGAGGACAUCAGCGAGCCACCAGAAGCGCUCUGCCAUCAGAUCUGCAGAACCCCUCUCUCCCCCCCUAAAGAUCUACAAUGACAGGUCUUUAUAGACCUGCACCAGCUGCAUCCAAUAAUGAAGGGGAGGAGUCCAGGUUGGUCGAAUCCAAUCGGCUACACCUUGGGUGAAGGGUAGCCAUCUUCCCUGCAGAUUUCCUGUACAUGGAGAGAUAAGACACAAACCAACACAAACACCCCCAAAACGUAACA
ensembl:lncRNA